rnacentral:rRNA from 1 species
ACACAUGCAGUCGAGCGCGCCCUUUUGGGUGAGCGGCGGACGGGUGAGUAACACGUGGGAAUAUGCCUUUCGGUGCGGAAUAGUCUUGGGAAACUGAGGGUAAUACCGCAUACGCCCUUCGGGGGAAAGAUUUAUCGCCGAGAGAUUAGCCCGCGUUGGAUUAGGUAGUUGGUGGGGUAAUGGCUCACCAAGCCGACGAUCCAUAGCUGGUUUGAGAGGAUGAUCAGCCACACUGGGACUGAGACACGGCCCAGACUCCUACGGGAGGCAGCAGUGGGGAAUCUUAGACAAUGGGGGCAACCCUGAUCUAGCCAUGCCGCGUGGGUGAUGAAGGCUUUCGGGUCGUAAAGCCCUUUUCCCACUGACGAGGAAGGACGGUAGGUGGGGAAUAAGUCUCGGCUAACUACGUGCCAGCAGCCGCGGUAAAACGUAGGAGACGAGCGUUAUCCGGAGUUACUGGGCGUAAAGCGUGCGUAGGUGGAUGGUUAAGUGGGUCGUGAAAGCCGUGGGCUAAACUUACGGAGGACGAUUCAGACUGGUCAUCUAGAGGGUGGUAGAGGAGUGCGGAAUUCCGGGUGUAGCGGUGAAAUGUGUAGAGAUCCGGAGGAACACCAGUGGCGCAAGCGGCGCUCUGGGCCACUACUGACACUGAUGCACGAAAGCGUGGGGAGCGAACGGGAUUAGAGACCCCGGUAGUCCACGCCGUAAACGAUGCGAACUAGAUGUUCAC